rnacentral:rRNA from 1 species
AUUGAACGCUGGCGGCAUGCCUUACACAUGCAAGUCGAACGGCAGCACGGGAGCAAUCCUGGUGGCGAGUGGCGAACGGGUGAGUAAAGUAUCGGAACGUGCCCAGUCGUGGGGGAUAACGUAGCGAAAGUUACGCUAAUACCGCAUACGAUCUAUGGAUGAAAGCGGGGGAUCGCAAGACCUCGCGCGAUUGGAGCGGCCGAUAUCAGAUUAGGUAGUUGGUGGGGUAAAGGCUCACCAAGCCGACGAUCUGUAGCUGGUCUGAGAGGACGACCAGCCACACUGGGACUGAGACACGGCCCAGACUCCUACGGGAGGCAGCAGUGGGGAAUUUUGGACAAUGGGCGAAAGCCUGAUCCAGCCAUGCCGCGUGCAGGAUGAAGGCCUUCGGGUUGUAAACUGCUUUUGUACGGAACGAAAAGGUUUGGGCUAAUAAGCUGAGCUCAUGACGGUACCGUAAGAAUAAGCACCGGCUAACUACGUGCCAGCCGCCGCGGUAA